rnacentral:rRNA from 1 species
UGGGGAAUAUUGCACAAUGGGCGCAAGCCUGAUGCAGCCAUGCCGCGUGUGUGAAGAAGGCCUUCGGGUUGUAAAGCACUUUCAGCGAGGAGGAAGGUGGUGAACUUAAUACGUUCAUCAAUUGACGUUACUCGCAGAAGAAGCACCGGCUAACUCCGUGCCAGCAGCCGCGGUAAUACGGAGGGUGCAAGCGUUAAUCGGAAUUACUGGGCGUAAAGCGCACGCAGGCGGUUUGUUAAGUCAGAUGUGAAAUCCCCGGGCUCAACCUGGGAACUGCAUUUGAAACUGGCAAGCUAGAGUCUCGUAGAGGGGGGUAGAAUUCCAGGUGUAGCGGUGAAAUGCGUAGAGAUCUGGAGGAAUACCGGUGGCGAAGGCGGCCCCCCUGGACGAAGACUGACGCUCAGGUGCGAAAGCGUGGGGAGCAAACAGGAUUGGAUACCCUGGUAGUCCACGCUGUAAACGAUGUCGAUUUGGAGGUUGUGCCCUUGAGGCGUGGCUUCCGGAGCUAACGCGUUAAAUCGACCGCCUGGGGAGUACGGCCGCAAGGUUAAAACU